rnacentral:rRNA from 1 species
UACGUAGGGUGCGAGCGUUGUCCGGAAUUACUGGGCGUAAAGAGCUCGUAGGUGGUUUGUCGCGUUGUUCGUGAAAACUCACAGCUUAACUGUGGGCGUGCGGGCGAUACGGGCAGACUGGAGUACUGCAGGGGAGACUGGAAUUCCUGGUGUAGCGGUGGAAUGCGCAGAUAUCAGGAGGAACACCGGUGGCGAAGGCGGGUCUCCGGGCAGUAACUGACGCUGAGGAGCGAAAGCGUGGGGAGCGAACAGG